AGGGUUCGAUUCUGGCUCAGAACGAACGCUGGCGGCAGGCCUAACACAUGCAAGUCGAGCGCGCCCUUCGGGGUGAGCGGCGGACGGGUUAGUAACGCGUGGGAACGUACCCUUUGGUAGGGAAUAGCCACUGGAAACGGUGAGUAAUACCCUAUGAGCCCUUCGGGGGAAAGAUUUAUCGCCAAAGGAUCGGCCCGCGUUAGAUUAGGUAGUUGGUGGGGUAAUGGCCUACCAAGCCUACGAUCUAUAGCUGGUUUUUAGAGGAUGAUCAGCAACACUGGGACUGAGACACGGCCCAGACUCCUACGGGAGGCAGCAGUGGGGAAUCUUGGACAAUGGGGGCAACCCUGAUCCCAGCCAUGCCGCGUGAGUGAAGAAGGCCUUAGGGUCGUAAAGCUCUUUCGCCUGUGAAGAUAAUGACGGUAGCAGGUAAAGAAACCCCGGCUAACUCCGUGCCAGCCGCAGC
rnacentral:rRNA from 1 species